rnacentral:rRNA from 1 species
GGAGUAUUGGUCAAUGGGCGAGAGCCUGAACCAGCCAUGCCGCGUGUAGGAUGACGGCCUUCUGGGUUGUAAACUACUUUUAUACGGGAAGAAAAGGCCCUUGCGAGGGAAAUUGCCGGUACCGUAUGAAUAAGCACCGGCUAACUCCGUGCCAGCAGCCGCGGUAAUACGGAGGGUGCAAGCGUUGUCCGGAUUUAUUGGGUUUAAAGGGUGCGUAGGCGGGUCUUUAAGUCUGUGGUGAAAGCCCAUCGCUCAACGAUGGAACUGCCAUGGAUACUGGAGAUCUUGAAUUCAGUUAAGGUAGGCGGAAUUGAUGGUGUAGCGGUGAAAUGCAUAGAUACCAUCAGGAACACCGAUUGCGAAGGCAGCUUACUGGGCUUGAAUUGACGCUGAGGCACGAAAGCGUGGGGAGCG